AGAUGGCUAGGCUGAAAAGGAGCUCUUCCGGUAAUGAGCCUGCCGUAUUCCUUUAUUAAAUAAUCAAAAAGCAAAGAAAUGUAGGCAACAGCUUUGAAACAACACGGAUUUGAAGGUGAUCUGAUCAUACGCUCAUCCAUCCGAAAACAAAACUUCAGCUAUUUUUUUUAAUGCUCAAUGUAAACAGCCAUUUAAAAAGCCUUACCUGCCACUAGUUUGCUGCCCCAAUGACUGCUGAACUGUUUUGUUAAUAACUAAAUAGCAGUAUGUAACUGCUACAUUGAUGACAUCAUAAAGAUAAAUUGUGACAUAAUUCA